UAUAUUUAUUAGGUUCUCUAGCUCCUCGUGGAUUCGAUCCCUAAGUACUAUAACUGAACCUCUUAUUUGAAAGAGUAAUUCACUCAUUAGAGUAAUUUGAGUGGAGAUCAAAUUCAUUGAUCUUGUUUUUAAAAAACACAUAAGUUAUAUUCAUUGUUGAAGGCUCGGUUGAAUUUAUCUACCAUAUACUCUCUAACACUUGCACUUGGAUUUUUAAGAGUAUAAUUAUCCCUCGAAAGUGCUUCGUCGAACAAUUGAAUUAAAGUUUUUCCUUAUAUAUAUAUGACCAUUUGUAUUAGGCAAAUCUCCAAAAUAGCACCUUUCUAAAUUUAUAUCACAAAAAUAGCACUCAAAAACUAAAAUGACCAAAAUAGCACAUUUCUAAGUUUAUCCUUUGAAAAUUUUAAUUAUUUUAUUUUUCAAAAUUUGAAAUCUUAUCCCCAAAACCUCAUUUCUCAA
rnacentral:lncRNA from 1 species